rnacentral:rRNA from 1 species
GACGAACGCUGGUGGCGUGCCUAACACAUGCAAGUCGAACGGAGUGUAACGCUGAUUUGAAGGUAGCUUGCUACUGGAUUUUCUUGUUACACUUAGUGGCGGACGGGUGAGUAACGCGUGAGCAACCUGCCUUACAGAGGGGGACAACAGUUGGAAACGACUGCUAAUACCGCAUAACAUAUUUGAGGGCAUCCUCGGAAUAUCAAAGGAGCAAUCCGCUGUAAGAUGGACUCGCGUCCGAUUAGAUAGCUGGUGGGGUAACGCCUACCAAGUCGACGAUCGGUAGCCGGACUGAGAGGUUGAACGGCCACAUUGGGGACUGAGACACGGCCCAG